CACUAUGCUCAGCCAUAAACAUUGAUAGAAUUUAACUGAUUCCAUCCGCCCGGGAAUUACGGACACCAGUCUAAAAACCAAAGGACUUGGCGGUGCUUUACAUCCACCUAGAGGAGCCUGUUCUAUAACCGAUAACCCCCGUUAAACCUCACCCACCCUUGCCUUAUCCACCUAUAUACCGCCGCCGUCAGCUUACCCUGAGAAGGAGAAGUCGUGUGCAAGAUUGGCAUAGCCCAAAACGUCAGGUCGAGGUGUAGUAAAUGAGUGGGGAAGAAAUGGGCUACAUUUGCUCUUGGAGCAAAGACGGAUGUCUCGUUGAAACAUGAGACUGAAGGAGGAUUUAGUUGUAAGCGGAAAAUAGAGUGUUCCGCUGAAAUCGGCCCUGAAGCGCGCACAUACCGCCCGUCACCCUCACCAAGCCCCCAGACAGCCGUAAUUAACAAGCCUGACAUGUGCGAAGGGGAGGAAAGUCGUAA
rnacentral:rRNA from 1 species